rnacentral:misc_RNA from 1 species
CGCACAUUGCGCCCUUUGGUAUUCCGAAGGGCAUGCCUGUUCGAGCGUCAUUGCAACCCUCAAGCCUUGCUUGGUAUUGGGCCUCGUCUAUUAUCGACGGGCCUUAAAAUCAGUGGCGGUGCCAUUAGGCUCUAAGCGUAGUAAUUUUCCUCGCUAUAGACGUCUAUUGGAUACUUGCCAGUAACCCCAAAUUACAAAGGUUGACCUCGGAUCAGGUAGGGAUACCCGCUGAACUUAA